CGGGCAUAGCAAUAUGUCAGCGGCAGACGGGUGAGUAACGCGUGGGAACGUACCUUUUGGUUCGGAACAACACAGGGAAACUUGUGCUAAUACCGGAUAAGCCCUUACGGGGAAAGAUUUAUCGCCGAAAGAUCGGCCCGCGUCUGAUUAGCUAGUUGGUGAGGUAAUGGCUCACCAAGGCGACGAUCAGUAGCUGGUCUGAGAGGAUGAUCAGCCACAUUGGGACUGAGACACGGCCCAAACUCCUACGGGAGGCAGCAGUGGGGAAUAUUGGACAAUGGGCGCAAGCCUGAUCCAGCCAUGCCGCGUGAGUGAUGAAGGCCCUAGGGUUGUAAAGCUCUUUUGUGCGGGAAGAUAAUGACGGUACCGCAAG
rnacentral:rRNA from 1 species